rnacentral:rRNA from 1 species
GAUGAACGCUGGCGGCGUGCUUAACACAUGCAAGUCGAACGAAGCACUUUUCUUGCUUGCAAGAAAAGUGACUGAGUGGCGGACGGGUGAGUAACGCGUGGGCAACCUGCCUUACACUGGGGGAUAACAGUUGGAAACGACUGCUAAUACCGCAUAUGCACACAGUAUCACAUGAUACAGUGUGGAAAACUCCGGUGGUGUAAGAUGGGCCCGCGUCUGAUUAGCUAGUUGGUGAGGUAAUGGCUCACCAAGGCGACGAUCAGUAGCCGGCUUGAGGGAGUGAACGGCCACAUUGGGACUGAGACACGGCCCAAACCCCUACGGGAGGCAGCAGUGGGGAAUAUUGCACAAUGGGGGAAACCCUGAUGCAGCAACGCCGCGUGAGUGAAGAAGUAUUUCGGUAUGUAAAGCUCUAUCAGCAGGGAAGAUAAUGACGGUACCUGACUAAGAAGCCCCGGCUAACUACGUGCCAGCAGCCGCCGUAA